CGAACCGUGUCGGGAGAGCCUGCCGAGGGAUCGGCAGCGCCGAAGGAGCAAGCCCUCCCCGGGAAUCUCUCAGGCCCCAGUACCGUCACGGCGAG
rnacentral:ncRNA from 2 species